rnacentral:rRNA from 2 species
UGUCUGGCGGCAAGAGCGCGGUGGUCCCACCUGACCCCAUGCCGAACUCAGAAGUGAAACGCCGUAGCGCCGAUGGUAGUGUGGGGUCUCCCCAUGCGAGAGUAGGGAACUGCCAGACAU